GACGCACCGUACGAACGUUAUUCGGAAUCACUGGGCUUAAAGGGUGCGUAGGCUGCGCAGCAAGUUGGGUGUGAAAUCCCUCGGCUUAACCGAGGAACUGCGCCCAAAACUGCUGUGCUCGAGGGAGAUAGAGGUGAGCGGAACUUAGGGUGGAGCGGUGAAAUGCGUUGAUAUCCUAAGGAACACCGGUGGCGAAAGCGGCUCACUGGAUCUCUUCUGACGCUGAGGCACGAAAGCUAGGGUAGCGAACGGG
rnacentral:rRNA from 1 species